rnacentral:rRNA from 1 species
GAUGAACGCUGGCGGCGUGCUUAACACAUGCAAGUCGAACGGAAAGGCUCCUGCUUGCAGGGGUACUCGAGUGGCGAACGGGUGAGUAACACGUGGGUGAUCUGCCCUGUACUUCGGGAUAAGCUUGGGAAACUGGGUCUAAUACCGGAUAGGACAACUUUUUGGAUAUUGUUGUGGAAAGCUUUUGCGGUAUGGGAUGAGCUCGCGGCCUAUCAGCUUGUUGGUGGGGUAAUGGCCUACCAAGGCGUCGACGGGUAGCCGGCCUGAGAGGGUGUACGGCCACAUUGGGAAUGAGAUACGGCCCAGACUCCUACGGGAGGCAGCAGUGGGGAAUAUUGCACAAUGGGCGCAAGCCUGAUGCAGCGACGCCGCGUGGGGGAUGAAGGCCUUCGGGUUGUAAACUCCUUUCGCUAGGGAAGAAGCUUUUUUGUGACGGUACCUGGAGAAGAAGCACCGGCUAACUACGUG